rnacentral:rRNA from 1 species
CAGUAGCCGCGGGAAUACAGAGGGUGCGAGCGUUAAUCGGAUUUACUGGGCGUAAAGCGUGCGUAGGCGGCUUCUUAAGUCGGAUGUGAAAUCCCUGAGCUUAACUUAGGAAUUGCAUUCGAUACUGGGAAGCUAGAGUAUGGGAGAGGAUGGUAGAAUUCCAGGUGUAGCGGUGAAAUGCGUAGAGAUCUGGAGGAAUACCGAUGGCGAAGGCAGCCAUCUGGCCUAAUACUGACGCUGAGGUACGAAAGCAUGGGGAGCAAACAGGAUUAGAGACCCGUGUAGUCCCUGUCUCUUAUAA